rnacentral:rRNA from 1 species
GAUGAACGCUGGCGGCGUGCCUAAUACAUGCAAGUCGAGCGAACGGACGAGAAGCUUGCUUCUCUGAUGUUAGCGGCGGACGGGUGAGUAACACGUGGAUAACCUACCUAUAAGACUGGGAUAACUUCGGGAAACCGGAUCUAAUACCGGAUAAUAUUUUGAACCGCAUGGUUCAAAAGUGAAAGACGGUCUUGCUGUCACUUAUAGAUGGAUCCGCGCUGCAUUAGCUAGUUGGUAAGGUAACGGCUUACCAAGGCAACGAUGCAUAGCCGACCUGAGAGGGUGAUCGGCCACACUGGAACUGAGACACGGUCCAGACUCCUACGGGAGGCAGCAGUAGGGAAUCUUCCGAAAUGGGCGAAAGCCUGACGGAGCAACGCCGCGUGAGUGAUGAAGGUCUUCGGAUCGUAAAACUCUGUUAUUAGGGAAGAACAUAUGUGUAAGUAACUGUGCACAUCUUGACGGUACCUAAUGAGAAAGCCACGGCUAACUACGUG